UUUCCACAAAUGAAGGAAAAU
rnacentral:piRNA from 1 species